CCGACUCCUCUCCAAUCCCGCCGCUGGCGGACUACCACCCCCACCGGCGACCUCCCUCCCUCCCUUCCUCCUGAGAUCUACGGAUGUGGCAACAGCGGCCGAAACCCACCCAUCGCCCAUGGAUGGAUGGGGACGGGGCACCGACGGCGGAUCCGCACCCACCUUCUCUCGGGGGAUCCUGCCGCGAUGGCCCUGGUGAUUUGCUACUGCAUCGUCUACUGCUUCAACCACGACGCCGUCAUCUACUGCUUGAACCACGAUGUCGGUUCUUCGUCGACCUCCACCACGCGCGCUGGCAUCCGUCCAUCUCCGGCCAUGGUGACCGCGGAUCUCCGACCAUGAUGGGGUAAGGAGUUGAAAGGCGCAGGUGGUCAGGCCUGCAAUGAGUGCGCCCUCCUGGUCUGCCGCCCUUGCUAUGAGUAUGAACAUGAGGAUGGCGUACAACAAGGAGUUGACGGCCUACUCAAGCGCCAAGGGAAGGCGGCAGGCUGGCAGCGCCACCAAGAGCCCAACACGAACCUCCAAUAUUGAGUCCUACCUGUAAUUCACGGAUAAGGUUGGUUGUGCCCCUCUGCUGGAGGAUCUCAGUCCAACUACUCUGGAUGCAUCUAUGACAUGGUGGACAAGGCAGUAGAAGCAUGUGACAUGGCAGCCAAGGGAGUUGUUUUGUGGGAUGAAGUGUUGGUAAAGACAACAAGCCCCAAGGAUCUGCAUAUGCGUUGCAAGUAACUCUGCCGCAACCGCGGCCGGCUGUGCUUCUUCCUUGGCUACAAAUCACCUAGGUGAGCUCUAUCCCUCUCUGUGGUGCUUCUGGUGGCCUUGUACUGGUGAUUGUGGUGUUGUGCUCUGACCAGUGGCAUGAUUUACGCACUAUGGCAAUUUUAGGUUUAGGGAAAAUAUGCACUGUUGCUCCUGAUCAAACCAAUUGGCCAAUAUCCAGUUAUCCUGCUAUGUGUAUGGAUUUGUUUAUGUGGAUUUGGUCUAAUCUAUGUCCUCCUGUUGAUCUACUGGUCCGUGUGUGUGUGUGUGUGUGUGUGUGUGUGUGUGUGUGUGUGUGUGUGUGUGGAGUAAAGUUGUGGUUUGUGCUUCUCCUUUGUAACAUGAUGAAACAAGCACCUGUAGCGUCUGAGUUAGUGGGUGUUUGUCUACAUGGUAAAGCUUCUUUGCCAUGUAUUUCAUAAGGAUGUGAACAAUCUACUACAUGCUCACAAAGCUAUUGACUUAAAUUUUUUGUUUCUUUGCUGUCAAUGUUCGCCAAGCUAUUUAAACGACGAUGACAAAAGGAAAUCAUGAAUACUCAUAUAGAAACUAUAUGGUAAUAACUAUACACGUUAUCAUUGAGUUUGCUGUGUGUUUAUAGAAUGACAUGGUUAGCUAAUUAAGCCCUGUCCGUGUAUCUUUUAGAAUUUGCUUCAUUGGUAGCACAUUCAGAUAUAUUAAUUAAUUUUGUGCAUGUUGGAGAAUUUAGACGAUGAUAACAAACCGUAAUCACGAAUACUUGUAUAGAAACUUGCACGACCAUCUUGUUUAAUUUUGUGAUAUUCCUCCAUACUAGGAGUUAAUCAGCUGAACUGUUAUUCAGCUUUCAUUGGCAGUUUUAAUUUCACUGAAAUCAUCUUUUCUUUUCUAUGCUCAUGCUCAAGCCUGGUAGUAUAUUUUUUUCCAAAUGGUCUGUUUAUU